rnacentral:rRNA from 1 species
AGUGAACGCUGGCGGCAGGCCUAACACAUGCAAGUCGAACGGCAGCACAGUAAGAGCUUGCUCUUACGGGUGGCGAGUGGCGGACGGGUGAGGCAUACAUCGGCAUCUUCUUUUUCGUGGGGGAUAACGUAGGGAAACUUACGCUAAUACCGCAUACGACCUACGGGUGAAAGCAGGGGAUCUUCGCACCUUGCGCGAUUGAAUGAGCCGAUGUCGGAUUAGCUAGUUGGCGGGGUAAAGGCCCACCAAGGCGACGAUCCGUAGCUGAUCUGAGAGGAUGAUCGGCCACACUGGAACUGAGACACGGUCCAGACUCCUACGGGAGGCAGCAGUGGGGAAUAUUGGGCAAUGGGCGCAAGCCUGAUCCAGCCAUACCGCGUGGGUGAAGAAGGCCUUCGGGUUGUAAAGCCCUUUUGUUGGGAAAGAAAAGCAGCAUAUUAAUACCCCGCUGUUCUGACGGUACCCAAAGAAUAAGCACCGGCUAACUUCGUG